AGACUGAAACUAGAGACUAAAAACUUAUUUAACUAUUUCUAAUAUAUGCUAGAAGCUUCAUUCCUUUAUUACAUAUAUUAUGGUGGUCAUUUUUGAAUUAUAAAAUUUUACAUAAACUAAAGCAAAACAAGAAGGAUGAAAAGUUAAAAGUUAGAUAUCAUUAUGCUUGCGGAUAUCUCUGAGGUAUUUAGACAGCAUAUUGUUUAGUUUUUUUUCCUUCUUUUCUUGUUUUUUAUUUCCAUUGAUAAAAAAAGAGUAAAAAUAAUUUUUACUACACAUAUAUUCAAACUUAUUCAAAUUACACAUAUAUUCAAACUUAUUUGUAAGGGAUAUUCAAGCUUAACUUAUUAUAUUUAUGGGUUAAUAUUUAAACCUAGUUUAUAUGAAGUAAUUACAACCAAUUCCUACUUUUGAAUUAUUCAACCAAACGAGAAUAUAUAAAAGGUCAUGCUAACCAGUGACUUCAGAACACUAGUUAAGAAAGUAAAAAUAAUUUUUUUUAUUAAAAAAUAGUAAUUUUUUUACUUUUAAAAAGUUAAACAUCCCACUUUUUACCACUUUUCAAUGUAAAUUCUUUGGCUUAAAUGCACUUUUGGCCCUCCAAGUUUCACAAGCUUGUGAUUUUGCCCCCCCUAUUUUCAAAAUAGCACAUUUGACCCCCCAAGUUUCAACCCCUUUGCAAAACCAUGGUCCCCUUAAUUUUGACUCAGUUAAAACUGACAUGUCGCGUUUUUUUUUCCACAUAGACUGCCUACGUGGAUUUUAGAAUGAAAAAUAAAUAAAAUUUCCACUCCUUAACCAUUUCUCCUUCAUCCUUCUUCUUCACACACAAAUCUGCAUCCUCCUCCUUCACUCAUAAAUCUGGUUCAUCCUUCUUCUCAAACACCAUUUUUCUUCUUCACAUACAAAUCUCUUCUCAAUCGAUUUUCCCCUUUUUCACGGAUUCAAUCGAUCUUCACACACAAAUCCUCCUUUUCACUCGUUUUUCCUCCUUUUCACUCAAUUCAUCCUCAUUUUUCGUGACUGAUGGCUCGACCCAAUGAUUAUACAACUUCAUCUUCUUGUAGAAAACGAAAAGGCAAUGUUGUAUGCUACUGUGGAGUUGAGUCUCCAUUGGUAACUUCAUGGACAUGAUAAUCGUGGGAGAAGAUUUCACGUGAGGGAAUUUUUUUUUCAUUCUAAAAUUCAUGUAGGCAGUCUAUGUGGUAAAAAAAUAAAAAUAAAAGCGACAUGUUAGCUUUGACCGGGUCAAAAUCAAGGGGGCCAUGGUUUUACAAAGGGGCUGAAACUUGGGGACCAAAUGAGCUAUUUUGAAAAUAGGGGGGCAAAAUUGCAAGUUUGUGAAACUUGGGGGGUCAAACGUGCAUUUAAGUCAAAAAGUUUAUAUUAGUUUUCUUAAUUUGUACUUCCAUACACUAGUUAAUAUUUCUCAUAAAUAAAAUAGGAUAUAUCAACUUAUUUGCUAUCCAUUUGUCGAAAACACUCCUUUGUUGUCCUCACACACCAAAAGGCAAAAUGGACCCAUGGAAAGAGCCUAUAAUAAUUAGAGAAGUGAUAUAUGCACAACUCUUUGGUACAAUUUUCAUGACAAUUUUAGUUUUCUCUCUUUUUAUUGGUUAAAAAUAAUAGAGAGAAAAAUGAAGAGAGAAAAUAAGAAGAUAAUGUGAUAAUGAGAGAGAAAGUUGUCAAAAAACUGUUAGAAAAUAGUUGUACAAAUAUCAUUUCUCGUAAUAAUUAUUGCUAUUCCAAAAUCAUACAAUUUGGAAUAAUCAGUGUCUGUGAUGAUCAUCAUAUUCUGAACUCAUCAGUAUUUCUCUUUGCUGGUGAAUGAUUAGCUUACUAAAAAUAACACUUGCUAAAAUUGAUCAUCAUAUUAUUGUUUCUAAAGAAUGAAUGUAACCAAAAGGUUAUUGCUAUUCCAAAAUCAUACAAUUUGGAAUAAUCAGUGUUUGUGAUGAUCAUCAUAUUCUGAACUCAUCAGUAUUUCUCUUUGUUGGUGAAUGAUUAGCCUACUAAAAAUAACACUUGCUAAAAUUGAUCAUCAUAUUAUUGUUUCUAAAGAAUGAAUGUAACCAAAAGGUUAUUGCUAUUCCAAAAUCAUACAAUUUGGAAUAAUCAGUGUCUAUGAUGAUCAUCAUAUUCUGAACUCAUCAGUAUUUCUCUUUGCUGGUGAAUGAUUAGCUUACUAAAAAUAACACUUGCUAAAAUUGAUCAUCAUAUUAUUGUUUCUAAAUAAUGAAUGUAACCAAAAGGUUAUUGCUAUUCCAAAAUCAUACAAUUUGGAAUAAUUAGUGUCUGUGAUGAUCAUCAUAUUCUGAACUCAUCAGUAUUUCUCUUUGCUGGUGAAUGAUUAGCUUACUAAAAAUAACACUUGCUAAAAUUGAUCAUCAUAUUAUUGUUUCUAAAGAAUGAAUGUAACCAUAAGGUUAUUGCUAUUCCAAAAUCAUACAAUUUGGAAUAAUCAGUGUCUGUGAUGAUCAUCAUAUUCUGAACUCAUCAGUAUUUCUCUUUGCUGGUGAAUGAUUAGCUUACUAAAAAUAACACUUGCUAAAAUUGAUCAUCAUAUUAUUAUUUCUAAAGAAUGAAUGUAACCAAAAGGUGGCUUUAAAUUGCGGCGGAAUCUGAAUGAUACGGUGUCUGCAAAUUAAAAGGAGUUCUGAGCCCAUGAUAUCAUAAAAAGUUCAGCAAAGAGUGAUGGGGAGAAUAAACGAAAUGACAAUAAUGAAUGGAAACUCAUACAAACAAGUGGAUGAGGAGUUUGAAUCCCGAUUACGUCUCUGUUUGUUUUGGCUUUUCAGCAACAAGAAGCACUUCUACAAACCUCAGAAGUGGAAAUUGAGUUUUCAAUGUUUUUUGGUUUGACAUUUUAGAAUUGCUUCUAUCCUCCAAAAGCAAUUCUCCUUAAAACUACAAUUCCUAGCUUUUGGCUUUCCUAGAAUCAAUUCUACAUUAAAUUUUAUAUUUUGAUUAUUGCAACCUAUUAUUUUUCUU